AGCUGGUCCAAAGGUAGUGAGUUAUCUCAGUUGAUUGUUCACAGUCGGUUACAAAUUAAAAUCCUUGUUCUACUCUCUCCCCCCUUCUUAUUACUGCACUUGACUUGUCUUGA
rnacentral:Y_RNA from 1 species